GCAGACACAUUCCAGCCAAUCAGCAGCAGACCCUCCCUCCCAGACCCUCCCACCUCCUGGACAGCAUCCAUUGUGAAGCUGCAUUCUUAGUGGGCUGUCCAGGAGGUGGGAGGGUCUGGGAGGGAGGGUCUGCUGCUGAUUGGCUGGAAUGUGUCUG
rnacentral:miRNA from 1 species